AACUAUUAGGAUUUGCCUGCCUUUUUACAGGGACUUUCUAUACUAACUGUUAGUAUAGACUGCCCCUGGCUUGAAAGUAUGGUUCUCUGCUCAUCAACGGGUGCGUGAUUAGCAAAUCAAAUAUCUUGUAGCAGUAAAAUACCUCCGGGGGGGGGGGGAGGGGCACUUCAAUACUUAAUUGAUAGGGGGUGUCGCUGGGGUUCUGUUACCCCACCCUUUUCAUAUAAUUUAGAUCUUAAAAAUGUAUACCUUUUCAUAUAUUGCGUGGGUAAAAUUGUAACCUUUUCCCAUAUUGGUUGGUUUUCGUGGGGUGUGUUGGAAAAGUGGAAUAUUCAAGGCUAAGAUUCUGUAUGUAAUGUUUACUUACGGCGAGACUUUCGGCUGUGAAAAAAUGACAGGGCUUUUCAUAUACAAGUAAUUGGAACUUUAUCGACCUUAUCAUAUAUUUCUGAUAGUUUUCCCCACCUAUUCCCAUAUUUUCAAGCUGGAAAAAGUGACCUAUUCCAGCGGCACGUCCUAUCACCUUGUAUAUAGGAAGUGCCCCCCCCCCCCCACGAGUAAAAUACACAAAUGUAUAAUACCUUAAUUCAGGAGCACAGUCUGUCUUUACCGUAAAUAACUUCGAGAUUAAUAUGUAAGUUUACUUUGCUAAUCGAUGUUCCUGUAAUUCAGAUUUAAAUUUAUUUGUGAGACCCCCGUCACUAUUUAUAUUCACUCAAAGAAAGGGGUUCUCCGUUACUGGGAAAAUCCAAGGACGUAUUGUGUUAGUUAUACGUCCUUGGAAAAUCUUAUCUGAUUCAGGAUCAAUUUAUCGGUUACACUCCCCUAUCACCAGUGAUUCUUUGUGAACUGCAUUCUGAAAAAGGUAUACUGUUGACUAUCAAUUUGCAUGAUUAGUUACAGAUGUCGACUCGGACUACUGCAAAAGACAAUAAUUAAGUUCACUGAUUUAGAUUGAAUAGUGGUUCGGUUAAUCCCCUCUUCCCCAAACAAGGCAAGGACAUUAAAGAUAAAGGGAAACUAUAAACAAAAGAAAUUAUCAACAAAAAUAGAUUUACAGACGUCAACAAAGCCUAAAUUGUCAGACAUCUUGGUUUUCAUGAUCAUCAUUCAACAGUUCAAUACUGAACAGCAAACUUAAAGUUGAUAUUUUUCUACAUAGUGUGACUUUUUUAUUAAUUUGAAAUGGAAUGUGUUUUUUUCCUACAUAAGAAAGAGGAAAUUUCAACAUAAUGACUAUAAACAAAAAGGAGUCAUAUCAUCAUGAUCAUAGAUGCUCAAGAACUUAAUCAUGUAAAUGCAACAACGUAAUUAUCAAUUGAAAGAAGGGAGGAAUGAAAAAAUAUAUUAGUAUUUUGUUGUCCAAAUGAACUUGCUUUGUCCACUCAUUUAAAUCGCUCCAUCCAAUAAAGAUGUACGGAGGAAGAUUUUUGAAGAACAGAUUGCAAAAAUGUUUUGUCUAAGAAUUGUAGGAAUAUUCUAGUGGAUGAAAUAAUUUAUUUACUUGACUCUUAUAUAGUGGACUGAAUAAUUGUUCAUAGCAAGCUGAAACAAGAAAACUAAAACUUAACAGGAAAAGUGUUUAUUUUAUAAAUUUACAAAUAUAAAUGUAAUAUUAUGAACAGCACAAAGGAAUAAGAUUCAAAUCGUUUGCAUAUUCAUGUAUUGCAAUGGAACUAUAACAAAGAAAACUUUACCUCAUGAAAAGAGUAAACUAUUAACUGUGCUUUGUCAAUUUAUUCAGUCAGAAUAUGAAAUAUUUUUUUCAGUUCUAUUUUUCAUAAUAAAACAAAGAAGACAAAGAUUUCAAAUCAAUAUUUUUUUCUUUUAUUAAGACGUCAUCAUUUUAUUUCAGUUAAAGGAUUUUAUUUUUUUACUUUAAAUAUUAUUAUAUUUCCAAAAUAAUAAUAAUCUUUAUUGUCAUAUAAACAAAUUAAAAACAUGUUUGUGACAAAAUGAAAAAAAACCAAAAUACACUCAUAUAUAUAUUAUAAACUUUUUACUUC